rnacentral:rRNA from 1 species
GGGCCCGCACAAGCGGAGGAACAUGUGGUUUAAUUCGAUGAUACGCGAGGAACCUUACCCGGGAUUGAACGUGAGCGGAAUACGGCCAAAAGGCCGUAGCUAGCAAUAGCCACUUACGAGGUGCUGCAUGGUUGUCGUCAGCUCGUGCCGUGAGGUGUCGGCUUAAGUGCCAUAACGAGCGCAACCCUUAUUGCCAGUUACUAACAGGUAGUGCUGAGGACUCUGGCGAGACUGCCGGCGUAAGCUGUGAGGAAGGUGGGGAUGACGUCAAAUCAGCACGGCCCUUACAUCCGGGGCGACACACGUGUUACAAUGGUGGGGACAGCGGGGAGCUACCCGGCGACGGGAUGCCAAUCCUGAAACCCCAUCUCAGUUCGGAUCGGAGUCUGCAACUCGACUCCGUGAAGCUGGAUUCGCUAGUAAUCGCGCAUCAGCCAUGGCGCGGUGAAUACGUUCCCGGGCCUU